UACAGAGGGUGCAAGCGUUAAUCGGAAUUACUGGGCGUAAAGCGUGCGUAGACGGUUAUGUAAGUCAGAUGUGAAAGCCCCGGGCUCAACCUGGGAAUUGCAUUUGAGACUGUGUAGCUAGGGUGCGGAAGAGGGAAGCGGAAUUUCCGGUGUAGCGGUGAAAUGCGUAGAUAUCGGAAGGAACACCAGUGGCGAAGGCGGCUUUCUGAGAUACUACUGACACUGAGAAGCGACAGCUAGGGGAGCAAACAGG
rnacentral:rRNA from 1 species